GUUUAAGUAGCUUAAAUGUAAAGCACUAGCCUUGUAAGCCAGCGACCAGAGGGCCUCAGCCUCUCUUAAACA
rnacentral:tRNA from 1 species